rnacentral:rRNA from 1 species
GGCCCAUCCUCCAAGGCUAAAUACUCCUGACUGACCGAUAGUGAACCAGUACCGUGAGGGAAAGGCGAAAAGAACCCCGGCGAGGGGAGUGAAAAAGAACCUGAAACCGUGUACGUACAAGCAGUGGGAGCACGCUUAGGCGUGUGACUGCGUACCUUUUGUAUAAUGGGUCAGCGACUUAUAUUCUGUAGCAAGGUUAACCGAAUAGGGGAGCCGAAGGGAAACCGAGUCUUAACUGGGCGUUAAGUUGCAGGGUAUAGACCCGAAACCCGGUGAUCUAGCCAUGGGCAGGUUGAAGGUUGGGUAACACUAACUGGAGGACCGAACCGACUAAUGUUGAAAAAUUAGCGGAUGACUUGUGGCUGGGGGUGAAAGGCCAAUCAAACCGGGAGAUAGCUGGUUCUCCCCGAAAGCUAUUUAGGUAGCGCCUCGUGAAUUCAUCUCCGGGGGUAGAGCACUGUUUCGGCAAGGGGGUCAUCCCGACUUACCGACCCGAUGCAAAC